AACGAACGCUGGCGGCGUGGCUAAGACAUGCAAGUCGAACGGACUAUUUUACAGAGUAAUCUAAGAAAUAGUUAGUGGCGUAAGGGUUAGUAAUGGAUAGGUAACGUACCCCGUGCUUCGGGAUAGCGUCAGUUGCCUUCGGGCAACUUUCCGAAAGGGGCGGUAAUACCGGAAAUAUCAUAAGUCGGUAGGCUUAUGAUCAAAGAUUUAUCGGCACAGGAGCGGCCUAUCUCCUAUCAGCUUGUUGGUGAGGUAAAAGCUCACCAAGGCUAUGACGGGUAGCGGGACUGAGAGGUUGACCCGCAACAUCGGGACUGAGACACUGCCCGGACCUCCACGGAGGGCUGCAGUAACGAAUAUUGCGCAAUGGGCGAAAGCCUGACGCAGCGACGCCGCGUGUAGGAGGAAGUCCCUCGGGAUGUAAACUACUGUCAGGGGUAAGAAAGUGCGCUUCGGCGUAUUGAUCUAACCCAGAGGAAGUCACGGCUAACUUCGUGCCAGCAGCCGCGGUAAGACGAAGGUGGCGAGCGUUGUUCGGUGUUACUGGGCUUAAAGCGUAUGUAGGCGGGAUGGUAAGCGUCUUGUGAAAUCCCUCGGCUUAACCGAGGAAUUGCUUGGCGAACUGUCAUCCUUGAGGCAAGUAGGGGUGCAUAGAACUCUUGGUGGAGCGGUGGAAUGCGUAGAUAUCAAGAGGAACGCCGAUGGAGAAAUCAGUGCACUGGGCUUGUCCUGACGCUGAGAUACGAAAGCGUGGGGAGCGAACGGGAUUAGAUACCCCGGUAGUCCACGCUGUAAACGAUGUCUACUAGACUGCGGAGGUUCUGACACAAUCGCGGUCGAAGCAAAAGUGAUAAGUAGACCGCCUGGGGAGACGGUCGCAAGGCU
rnacentral:rRNA from 1 species